rnacentral:rRNA from 1 species
AUGUCUUCCUCCUCCGCCUCCUUCCAGUCAUCGCUCAGCGGUGGAGUCCCGGAGAAGCUCUCCCGCACCAACUAUGUCUUGUGGCGGACCCAGAUCACGCCGCAACUGCGGGCGCCGGCGUCUUCCACUAUGUCGACGGCACGACGACUGAGCCGGACAAAGUCCUCAUCAGUAAGGACGCCGCCGGCAAGGAGACGACUGGGCCAAAUCCCCUUCAUCCACUUUGGGUGA